UUCCUACGGGAGGCUGCAGUAGGGAAUAUUGCUUAAUGGGCGAAAGCCUGAAGCAGCAACGCCGCGUGUGCGAUGAAGGCCUUCGGGUUGUAAAGCACUUUUCGAGGGGAUGAGGAAGGACAGUACCCUUGGAAUAAGUCUCGGCUAACUACGUGCCAGCAGCCGCGGUAAAACGUAGGAGACGAGCGUUAUCCGGAUUUACUGGGCGUAAAGCGCGUGUAGGCGGUCUGGAAAGUUGGAUGUGAAAGCUCCCGGCUUAACUGGGAGAGGUCGUUCAAAACUACCGGACUAGAGUGCGGGAGAGGGAGGUGGAAUUCCGGGUGUAGUGGUGAAAUGCGUAGAUAUCCGGAGGAACACCAGUGGCGAAAGCGGCCUUCUGGCCCGCAACUGACGCUCAGACGCGAAAGCUAGGGGAGCAAACGGGAUUAGAUACCCUUGUAGUCAAU
rnacentral:rRNA from 1 species